UGGGGAAUCUUCCGCAAUGGACGAAAGUCUGACGGAGCAACGCCGCGUGAGUGAAGACGGCCUUCGGGUUGUAAAGCUCUGUGAUCCGGGACGAAAGAGCCUGAGGUGAAUAGCCUAAGGAAGUGACGGUACCGGAAAAGCAAGCCACGGCUAACUACGUGCCAGCAGCCGCGGUAAUACGUAGGUGGCAAGCGUUGUCCGGAAUUAUUGGGCGUAAAGCGCGCGCAGGCGGCUUCCAAGUCCAUCUUAAAAGUGCGGGGCUUAACCCCGUGAUGGGAUGGAAACUGGGAAGCUGGAGUAUCGGAGAGGAAAGUGGAAUUCCUAGUGUAGCGGUGAAAUGCGUAGAGAUUAGGAAGAACACCGGUGGCGAAGGCGACUUUCUGGACGAAAACUGACGCUGAGGCGCGAAAGCGUGGGGAGCAAACAGG
rnacentral:rRNA from 1 species